rnacentral:rRNA from 1 species
UACGUAGGGUGCAAGCGUUGUCCGGAAUUAUUGGGCGUAAAGGGCUUGUAGGCGGUUUGUCGCGUCUGCUGUGAAAUUUCGGGGCUCAACCCCGAACUUGCAGUGGGUACGGGCAGACUAGAGUGUGGUAGGGGGAGCUGGAAUUCCUGGUGUAGCGGUGAAAUGCGCAGAUAUCGGGAAGAACACCCGUGGCGAAGGCGGCACUCUGGGACGGUACUGGACGCUGAGACGCGAAAGCGUGGGGAGCGAACGAGG